rnacentral:rRNA from 1 species
UGGAUCCAGACUUUGAUCCUGGCUCAGGAUGAACGCUAGCUACAGGCUUAACACAUGCAAGUCGAGGGGAAACGAUAUUGGAAGCUUGCUUCCGAUAGGCGUCGACCGGCGCACGGGUGAGUAACGCGUAUCCAACCUGCCCACCACUUGGGGAUAACCUUGCGAAAGUAAGACUAAUACCCAAUGAUAUCUCUAGAAGACAUCUGAAAGAGAUUAAAGAUUUAUCGGUGAUGGAUGGGGAUGCGUCUGAUUAGCUUGUUGGCGGGGUAACGGCCCACCAAGGCGACGAUCAGUAGGGGUUCUGAGAGGAAGGUCCCCCACAUUGGAACUGAGACACGGUCCAAACUCCUACGGGAGGCAGCAGUGAGGAAUAUUGGUCAAUGGGCGAGAGCCUGAACCAGCCAAGUAGCGUGCAGGAUGACGGCCCUAUGGGUUGUAAACUGCUUUUAUAAGGGAAUAAAGUGAGCCUCGUGAGGCUUUUUGCAUGUACCUUAUGAAUAAGGACCGGCUAAUUCCGUGCCAGCAGCCGCGGUAAUACGGAAGGUCCGGGCGUUAUCCGGAUUUAUUGGGUUUAAAGGGAGCGUAGGCCGGAGAUUAAGCGUGUUGUGAAAUGUAGACGCUCAACGUCUGCACUGCAGCGCGAACUGGUUUCCUUGAGUACGCACAAAGUGGGCGGAAUUCGUGGUGUAGCGGUGAAAUGCUUAGAUAUCACGAAGAACUCCGAUUGCGAAGGCAGCUCACUGGAGCGCAACUGACGCUGAAGCUCGAAAGUGCGGGUAUCGAACAGGAUUAGAUACCCUGGUAGUCCGCACGGUAAACGAUGGAUGCCCGCUGUUGGUCUGAAUAGGUCAGCGGCCAAGCGAAAGCAUUAAGCAUCCCACCUGGGGAGUACGCCGGCAACGGUGCAACUCAAAGGAAUUGACGGA